UGAAGGACGAGAAAGGACUAAGUUAGGCCUGGACUUUAUUUUAUGUUUUAUUAUGUUUGUGUGGCCGGCAGACGUCCGCGAGGGUCUGCCGGCAUUACUUUCCUCGAACCCGGAGACCCGGGUUCGAGGCCCGCGCAGAGCGGGGCGAGUAGGACCUGGGUCAGGGGUUACAUAUAUAUCUUUCAAAUAUGGCAAAACAAAAGAGAGACGAUGGUAUUGGUGCUGCUAGUUGGAAUUAUGCAAUGGAGGAAAGGUUUGUGGAGCUAUGGCGACAAUAUGAUGCCUUGAUGUUUCCUCGAGGGACUACCACGACAGAGGGGAAAAAAGAUAAAUGCUGGAGAACGAUAGCAGAGCAAUCGUUGCACUUCAGCAAUCAGGUCUCUCAUUAAAGGUCUACUGGAUCCAGCCUAUUUCAGUGGCUCCCUGUCAUUUUACAAGACUCAAGCAAUGAAGACCUUUCAUCACUCCUCCAGCCCCAUCCUCGCCCCGCACCAGUGCGUUAGCACUGACCUCAACUGCGGUUCAGCCAUUUCACUUCUAUGUGGUGUGACGGCCAACACACUCUUCCCUACCAAUAAGCUGACUGAAGUUUACUGAUGGCUUUGUUCAGUGCCUUCUCAAUUCCCUACUCCUUUCUAGCUGUCAAAAAAUGUUGUUAACCCUUCUUCCCCUGACAGAAUCAACAGCUUGGAAGUGUUAGCCUGCUUGGUCUUCUCAACAUUAAGGCAGAAACAUGAAACAGUGCUAAAAUAAAACGUUAAAGGAGUCUUGGUCAAUUUUGCUUUCUAGUCCACCCUGAAUUUAAAGGGUUAGUUCACCCAAAAAUGAAAAUAAUGCCAUUUAUUACUCACCCUCAUGUCGUU